GCUUGUCUCAAAGAUUAAGCCAUGCAUGUCUAAGUAUAACUCUUUUACUUUGAAAACUGCGAACGGCUCAUUAUAUCAGUUAUAGUUUAUUUGAUGGUCCUUGCUACUUGGAUAACCGUAGUAAUUCUAGAGCUAAUACAUGCAUCAAACCCCGACUUCUGGAAGGGGUGUAUUUAUUAGAUUUAAAGCCGACAUCUUUUGGUGAUUCAUAAUAACUUUUCGAACCUCAUGCCUUUAUGGUGGAGGUGAUUCAUUCAAAUUUCUGCCCUAUCAACUUUCGAUGGUAGGAUAGA
rnacentral:rRNA from 1 species